rnacentral:rRNA from 1 species
CAAGAUUACCCGCUGAACUUAAGCAUAUCAAUAAGCGGAGGAAAAGAAACCANCAGGGAUUGCCUCAGUAACGGCGAGUGAAGCGNCAAGAGCUCAAAUNUUAAAUCUGCCUUUUAGGCCGAGUUGUAAUUUGUAGAGGAACGUUCGGUGACGUCUAGGUCCGAGUCUUCUGGAAGGAAGCGCCGAUGAGGGUGAGAGCCCCAUACGACCAACGACUUAGCCAUGUGAACGCCCUUCGAAGAGUCGAGUUGUUUGGGAAUGCAGCUCAAAGCGGGUGGUAAAUUCCAUCUAAAGCUAAAUAUUGGCCAGAGACCGAUAGCGCACAAGUAGAGUGAUCGAAAGAUGAAAAGCACUUUGGAAAGAGAGUGAAAAAGUACGUGAAAUUGUUGAAAGGGAAGCGCUUGCGACCAGACUUGAUCGUUCAGUUCAAGGGUUCUUCUGGACCCGGUACUUCUGUCUGAUCAGGCCAACAUCAGUUCGGACGGUUGGAUAAAAGCUUUGGGAACGUGGCUCCUCGGAGUGUUAUAGCCCUUUGCACAAUACAGCCAGGCCGGACUGAGGAAUGCCUUUUGUAGGAUGUUGGCGUAAUGGUUGCCAGCGGCC